rfam:Pyrenophora tritici-repentis Pt-1C-BFP supercont1.8 genomic scaffold, whole genome shotgun sequence.
GCUAUGAUUAUUAUCUUUUUAACCCUGAGAUCCCUCGGUGAGGAUCAAAAUACAACAACAACACUCUAAUUUUUUAAUGAGC